AUGUCAGAAUAUUGUUUUAUUUGUACUCAUCUUUUAACUGAAAGUGAAACUGUAACUGUUGAUCGUGGUAUGAAGACACUGAUUAAUGCAAGUGCUGAAAGAGAUGAUGGAUACUCGGAAUUUCUUAAAAAACAAAAAUCUGUGACAAUACAUAGCAACUGUCGUAAAAUUUAUACGCGGAAGUGUUCUAUUGCUGCUGCCAUCAAAAGAAAACGCGAAGAACAAGAAGCUAAUACAUCUACAGGAUCUACAGUAAGUAGUCCUCCUCGUACUAGAUCCCGUUCAAGUGAUUCAGCUUUUUGUUUUAAAAAACUAUGUUUAUUUUGUGGCAAUAAAUUGAAUGAAGAGUUGCAGAGAAAAAAAUCCUUAGAUCGUCGCAGUAAAAUUUGUCAAGUAAGUACACUCCAAUUCAAACAUUCAAUUUUGGAAGUAGCACGAACUCGUUCCGAUGCUAUAUCGAAAGCUGUUGUUGCUCGAAUCGAAUUUGACUAUGAUUUAGUUGCUGCUGAAGCAAAGUAUCACCAAGAAUGUUAUACUUCUUUUUUGAAACCGACUACUGGCGGUACAGUUGGUCGUCCUAAAGAUGAAGCAACAGAUCUGGCAAUGCAGGAAAUAUUUACAUACAUUGAGAGUAGCAAUGACUGUCAGUUUACUUUGGCUGAGUUAAAAGAUGUUAGCAAAAUUUUAACUUUAGAUAACAGGACUAUUAAGCUGCGACUUAAACUGAAAUAUGGCGAUAAAAUUAUUAUCACUGAAAAACCGGGAGCGUUAACAUUUGUAUGUUUGAUAAACAGUCACCAUGAAAUUUUAAAUCAAUCUUGGUCCGAAAAUAAAAAAAUUAAUAAACAAGAAGAACGAUUAAAAACUCUAGAAGCAGCAGCAUCUAUUAUUCGAGAAGAUAUUCAAUCCUCGGUAUUUGAUAAUUCCUACUACCCUCCACCAGGUCGAAUGUUUGAAGAUUUAAAUAAUGACAUCCCACAGUCACUGACAUUUUUUUUGGAGCAAAUGAUCUUAAAAAAUAAACGAUCAAAUUUCGAUCAUUUAAAACUAGUAUGCACCAAUAUUUGUCAUAGUAUCAUGACUGCUAUUCGACCAAGAUCGUUCAAGUCCAAAUUACAGUUAGGUCUUUCAGUUUUUUUUCAUCGGAGGUUCGGGUCUAAGCGUCUUAUACAAAUUUUGUCGUCUUUUGGUUUGUGUGCUUCUUAUAAUGAUACAUUGAUGUACGAGUCAGCAGCAGUUUUUCAUCCUCUUCCUCAUGUCCUACCACCUGAAAGUGGCACACUUAUUCAAUACGUUGCAGAUAAUGCUGAUAUAAAUGUUAAUACACUAGAUGGUAACAAUUCACUCCACAUAAUGGGUAUAAUUCAAAUUGUAACUCCAAAGCACUCUGUUUUACUAGAAGAACCUAUGCAACGAAUAAAAGAAGUUCUUUCAGCAAAACACUUCAAAGCAAAAGCUCAUGUGCCAAUACAGAUCUAUCAGAAUAGUGAUGUAGUUGGUUACAGUAAAAUAUAUGUCCAAGAUUUUGGAUAUGGAACUGAAACAGUAUCUUUUCAUAAAAAUUCUGAUGUAGUAUGGUUUUAUGGAAAGUGGAAAAAUACAUCAUUACCUGGUUGGAACGGUUUUAUUGAGCGCUUAACAAAUUACCAUACAAAUUAUUCAAAAUCUCAGAUUACAUUUUUACCAUUCAUCCAUCAACCAGCUAGUAACUAUAAUACUGUCUAUACGACUUUACUUUGUGCAUUAGAGAACGCGAAACGUUACGGCCACACUGUAUGCAUCGUGACUUUCGACCAACCCUUGUAUGCGAAAGCUCGAGAAAUUGUAUCAGCCGCACCUGACGGCUCUGAAGUAUCGAAGAUUAUUGUCAGACUUGGAGGAUUUCAUCUACUCAUGUCUUAUCUCGGAGCAAUUGGUUAUAUUAUGCAAGGUAGCGGGAUAAAAGAAGUACUCUCAGAAAUCUAUGCACCAAAGUCAUUAGAAAAAAUGCUCAAUGGUCAUGCUUACGCAAGAGCUGUUCGAGCACAUACACUACUCCAGCUGGCUUUAGCAAUUACAAUAUUAAAAACAAUAGAUAUUAAUGAUAUCAUGGGAGCAGAUUUAAUCAUAAAUAUUGACCAUAUAUUAGAUAGCACUCUUUCAUAUUCAGAUAUUGAAAAUGAUAAUGAAGUAUCAGGUGCUUUACUUCAUAAAUUUAAUAUGAAAUUGAAAGAUUUUGAGGAACGAGGACCAACAGCGCAACUUUGGAUACAAUAUUUUAAUAUGGUUUCACUUGCAAAAGAAUUUUUGAGAGCUGAGCGUAUGGGGGACUGGAAAGCUCAUUUAAGUUGUGUAAAAGAAAUGUUACCUUAUUUCCACUCGUCAGGACAUUUUCCAUAUGCUAAAUCUGCACACUUGUAUUUACAAGACAUGAUGCAAUUACAGGACUCGAUGGAUCCUGAAGUUUACGAAAAAUUUACCGAAGGAUUUUUCACCGUGAGACGCUCAGAUAAAUUGAGUUGUGGAACUUCUACAGACAUGGUUAUCGAACAGUCUAUGAUGAAAGCCAUGAAGACAGAUGGAGGUAUUGCUCGAGGAAGAAGUACAAAACAAAGUGUAAUCAGUAAAUGGGUUUACAGCAUGCAUGCAAUGAACAGUUUGUGAGAAAUUAGAAGAUCUUGCUAAUGUUAGGAUGGAUACGACUGAACAGCAUGUUGAUGCCAGUGAUUCACGUGUAAAAAAAGACGCUAAAGACAUACGAAUGCUUCUUGAGUGGUUCUCGAUUCAUGAUCCUUUCCCAGAGGUUAACAAAGUCAUCUCGAUUGCAAGUGGUGUCGUUGGUGAUAAUACAAUUAAUUGCUAUAAAGCACGUGAACUUGGGCUUAUCUCUAUUGCUAAAAUAACUGGACUGACAUUUAAAGAUAUUAAACUUAAACGCGCUGACAAAGUUGUUCCUCUUUUAGCUAUGAGUAGCACCGUAAAAGUUCACGAAGAAAAAGUACCUGUUGACCCAGUGUUAUUAUUCCAACGUAUGAGUGUUACUGCGGCUUUUCAAGAUGAAAUUGAGAAAUAUUUCGAGUAUGAAUUAGCUCCUUAUCCGUUAACAUUAUUUGAUGACAUUGGAAUGCGCAAGACCCAGAAGUCGGCUAUUUACGAUUGUUUUCAGACUAUAAAUGUUGAUAUUAAUAACACUAAUUCAACGUACAUAAUUGACGGAGGAUUCUUAUUACAUCGAGUGGUGUGGGAUAGCGAGGAAACAUUUAACGUUAUCUUAGAUAAAUACGUUCAAUAUGUACGUCGACAUUUUGGUUCCAGAGUUACUGUCGUAUUUGACGGAUAUGAUGAUUAUACGAGAAAUAUUAAAGCAGCAGAGCAACGCCGUCGAAAUGCUGCUUCAUCAACUUCUUCUGAUAUUAUAUUCGAUGAAUCAAUGACAGUUCCUACCAGUCAACAGAAAUUCUUUGCAAAUAAUCACAAUAAAUCUAGGUUUAUUUCGAUGUUGAAAGCAAAAUUUACUGCUGAGAAUAUAUCCGUUGAACAAGCUAAUGAUGAUGCUGAUGUAUUGAUUAUUGAAACAGCGAUAAAGAAAUUCAGUGUGACAAAUACAACUGUUGUUGUUGGUGAGGAUGUUGAUUUACUCGUCUUGCUUACUGCUCGAACUCCAACUGAAAAAAUUAUUUAUUUUUUUAAACCCGGAAAAGCCCAAAAUCAAUCGGAAAUAUAUUCAUCAAACAGUUUAUCCAAUUUUCCUAAAUGUCAAAAUCAUGUAUUGUUUCUACACGCAAUAACUGGCUGCGAUACGACAUCUGCUUUUUACAGGAGAGGAAAAACAACAGUUUUCAAAAUGUUUGAAAAAAAAGAUUUACUACAAUGUGCUGAAGUUUUUAAAAAUAGUAAUUCAACUCAACAACAUGUUAUCACCAACGGAGUUCAAUUUCUUCUUGCUAUGUACGGAGCCCCCAAAAAAACCACUUGCUUAGAUAAGUUGCGAUACACAUCUUUCGUGAAAAAUACGCGUAAUAAAAAACAAGUCAACUUAGCUUCUCUUCCUCCAACCUCAGUAGCUGCUCAUCAACAUCUGUUUCGGGUAUAUUACCAAGUUCAAGUGUGGCUUGGUAAUCAGCUGGACCCUAAAGACUGGGGUUGGAAGUUGAUCGACAAUACACUAGAAUUAGUAUCCUAUUAGCAUGUCUCUUAUUGUCCAUAUUGUUCAAUAACAGGAAAUCCUUGUACUUAGCUUAAGUUUAGACAUCAUUAUAUUCUGUUAUUACAUCCUUUAUUGUCAACAUUAAGUAGAAUCAGGAAACCUUUGUACUUAGCCUAAGCCUAUAUAUUGUUGUAAUCCAAUAAAGAUAAGCAGUUGAGUUUCGCUCUUCAAGCCGAACACACGCCUCCAAAUCGCUUUUUAAAAACCCUCUUGCCAACGCCCACAACCUAACUCGAGACAGUCUUAAUAUUGAUAGAUUUGUCAAAAAAUGUUCGUUGUGUGUUUAAUGGGAUGCACUUAAAGAAAAAAAAAAGCGUAAAUACCAUUUUCAAAAUAUCCACCUGGUGCCAGAAAAAUGGCCUUAACGCUCCAUUUUUACUCCCCUGCUGCUUAUAAGUACGUGCGUAAAAUGUUCAACACAUGCUUACCACACCCUAAUACGUUGUACGAAUGGUAUCAGAGGGUUGAUGCGGAUCCCGGAUUUUGUACAGAAACUUUAAACAGGUUAGAAGCAAAGGCAAAAGAAUUUAAGAAAAAAAUAUUAUGCGCCCUUGUUGCCGAUGAGGUGGCAAUAAGGAGAUAAAAAAUAUGGACGGGCAAGCGUUAUGAGGGUUUGGUAGACAUGGGUUUGGGAAGCGAUGAUAACAAUCAAAUGGCUACUCAGUCAAACGUCUUUACGAUGGUUGCAAUUAAUGAUAAUUGGAAAUUACCACUGGCUUACUUUUUCAUUGAAACUUUGAAGGCAGACACGAAAGCCAACUUGAUUAAAACAGUACUAGAAAAAUGUGAAAAAUAGAGAUUCAGAUUCGUUCGGUAGCAUUUGAUGGUUGUAAAAGUAACAUUGCAACCAUGAAAAGGUUAGGGUGCGAGAUAGAUAAUGCAGAAAAUUUUAAAACAAACUUUAGACAUCCUUGUGCACAUUACGAUAUUGUUGUGUUCCUAGAUGCUUGUCAUUAUGGUAAAGUUAAUGAGAAAUACUUUUGAAUAAUAAAAAAAAAUACACACAUCUAAUCAAAAACAGAUUAACACAUUCACUGCGGGUCACCCACAAUCGCCCCGAUACUGUGCCGAAUCACUGUGCGCACGGAAUAAACAAAUCUUUUUCGAUCGUGCAAAACAGGGUUUUCUAGGCAUUUUUACGAGCAUGACAGAGACAACUAUAGUUUUCGAAUUGUGACAAGAUAAAGUAAUAUUGGCAGUUUACUUAUGGGGGUUUACACGGGUGACUAAAGCCGCACGAUUUUUGCCGCGCGGCGUAAAUCGACCAUCUAAAUGGCAAUUCGGCUAAGUUGCAAUUGACUAAAGCCGCAAGCCCCAAAGUUGGGUAGCAUCCGACUUUGGCCGCGCGGCAACCGGCCGCAUGCGACUGGUGACUAAAAUCGACCGUGUAAACGAUCAGUUGCAGGCGAUCGCCCGCCGUAUGAAGGUGUUUCGCGCACGCACGUGUAUUUAUUUACUACAGCGUUUCUGUGUACAUGUAUCGUAACAACCAUGAAUAAAAAUAACACCAUACAGUUUUUGGAAUGCUAUGAAAUGCAUCCAUGCUUAUGGAACCCAAGAGAACAAGAUUACAGAAACAAUAAUGUACGUUUAGCGGCUCUUAAAUCUAUUAUUCAAGAAAUGCGUUUGUCCAUAACAGUUGAAGAGCUUAAAUUGAAGAUAAAAAAUAUACGAACCACAUAUAAUAGAGAGGCCAGUAAGGUAGCAAAGUCAAAAAAGAGUGGCGCGGGAAAGGAUGAUAUAUACAGACCUCAAUUAAUUUGGUUUUCUGUAGCUGACCGCUUUUUAAAGCCAGUGAUAGAAGGAAGAAACAGUAAAGAUAACAUGGGAAAAGAUUCAGCGGUGAACACAAACAGCGACGCGUCUUCAUAUUUUGAUGAAUUGGAACAAGAAGAUAAUAUUGCGCCCUUACAAAAGAAAAAAAAAUUGUCUCCAAAGAAAAAGGCGGAGCGUGCUCUAAUGGACGCACCUAAAAUGGACCCACCUGUUUUACAAGCAGUCAAUAGAUUAGAAACUUUGGCUCAAACUAUCCGUCAAGAUGAAUUUGAUACAUUCGGAGUACAUGUGGCAAGCCAAUUACGUAGUUUGCCAUUAAGAAAUGCUAUUGUUUGUCAAAAUUUCAUCAAUAAUUAUUUGUCACAAGAAAGACUGAAAACCUUAACACAACAUUUUCCAAUUGCUAGACCUACGAGUUCACUUUCAGAAUAUUCACGCUAUACUUCGACUCCAGAAGCCGAAGCUACUACUUCCAGAAACCAAGCUUUUCAAUACCAGCGUGAAACUUUGACUUCCGAAGCUUCCACUUCUAGAAGGCACCUCGAUUAUGAAGAAGACUAUUUUGCCAGCUGUUUACUUACACAAAAAAAUACUGGGCAACAAUACGGAGUGAACGACGAUAUUCUCUCUCAAGCUGUUAGGUCAUGCUUAGAUGAAAACAUAAUGGAAAAUUUAUAAAUAAAUCGUUUAUAAUUAAUUACUAGUUUCACUUACCAUCAUGAACUCCUGUAAAACAUUGUAUAUAGCAUCCAAAACAUCCUUCAAAAACAAGGAAAUUGUGCAUUCUGGAACUCUGAAUGACUCUGCAAGACUUGAAUAGUUAUCACCGGUAGCCAGGAACUUCAGGGUUAUUUCUAAUUUAAUUUUCGGAGAAAGUGCUACUCGCAUAUUGGUAUCGCAUUUUUGUAUAAGCGGAGUAACCUUAUAUAGUAAAGUAUUAAACUGAUCAGUAGUCAUUCUUAAUCGUUUUUUAAAAUAAUCAGGAUCUUCUAAACUCCACUCAACCAAUAAAGUAUCCGAAGCACCCAAGUCCUUACGUCGAGAAAUCCAUCCACGUACCCAAACAUUACGUUUUCUUCUUUCCUUUUGUUUUUUCUUCACUCUUUGUUCUUUAAGCAAUUGUUGAAUAAUUGAAUAAUUAAUUAUUUCAAUUCCGGCACAAACGGCUAUUCUGCUCAACAUUUUCAAUGGAAAUGACAGAGCCGCAUGCGAUUUUAGUAACCAGUGUAAAUGGGCUAGCGAUGCGGCUUGGUGAGGCAAUUAGUGAAGCGACUCGCCGCACGGCGAAAAUCGACCCGUGUAAACCCCCCAUUACUGUUGUGCUGUGCGGUUAGCGAGUGCCCAGAGUGUGUGUGUUACCAUGUAGCGAUGUUGUGUCAGCGCAGAAGUGUGCCGAGUAACGAAACGCAGGACCCGGGACCAGGUGAGUUGUUCGACACUUUCUUUCCCAACAUCAGUUAAUUGCGGGUAGUUGUCGAUCAGCCUGGGAAAGCUGCGUACUCAUUUUAUUCUAAGAAUAAAAUUUGAGUUACGUUAACGCCUUUGAGUCUGGCCAUUUGUGUCCGUUCACAGUCCUCCUCUGCCCUUCGGGGUUAGGAGAGGCUGCUACUAAGCCCGUGUAAGCUGAUUUACGUGGUGGAUCACGGCAACGUCGGGAACUCGUAAUCAGUUUGCUCUUAGAUUCAGUAGUGCGUAGUAAUUUCUCUUUUAUUGUUUUAAAUUGUUAUUAUUUCCUACUGCUUAAUUAACUAUAAAAUUUAAAUAUAUUAAUUAUUAUAAAUUAUUCUAUUAUUGUAGUCAACACAGUCGCCUACUAGCGUCACUGUGGUAAAUGUUGAAUCAAACCUUCUUUAUAGUUUUUAUACACAACUGUUUUAUUCUUUUACUUGUCACUUCGACUUUGUCAUUCUCUCUCCAUAAAAUAAAAUGUUCAUUGUUUUACUUUAAUUAUCGUUUAUUUUAAAAUCCACAACAGUAAAUUCAUUUAAUUUUAACUUAGUAAAUUUAGAUAUACCCUCAAUAGUUGUAAUAUUUUUAUUUCUUGUAAAUAUAAACUUAAUCCCUAUAAUUGCAUACUGGCGAACCGACCGACCUUUUUAAGUGGACAUUGAUAAUAUUAGUUUUCCUUUUCUUUAAUUUUCCUUGAUAAUUACGAAACAUACUGUAGAUUUUGCCGUCGUUGCUGAAUAAUAUUUAGUUUUGUUUUCUUUUUUUGUAGAAUUAAAUUAGUUUAUGUAGUUGUUAGUAUUCUAUCCCCUCCUUAUUUACAAUCUAGGAUGGAAUCUAGCAGGUGCAUCUAGUAUCGUGUCGGGGUGACUGAUGGCUGAGCGGAGAUUCCGAGACUGAGUCCGGAGCAACCGACUCUGUCGUCUUCAGUCAGAGCACACUCGCUCUCGAUACAUACAUGUACAUUAGUGUUAAUUAAUAGUUCUUUAAUUUUGUUUUUUUUUUACUUAAACCAAAUUUUUAUAGCAAUAGUAUUAUCAUUAUUAGUUAAAUAGUUUUUAAUUUAGAUAUUGAUUGGAUUUGGAGCCCUCAGUGGCAAGUCCGUUUGUUAUUUUUUCUGUUUGUUUAUUAUUCUUAAUUUUCUUACGUACAUUAUUAGCCUGUCGCGGCGGGUGCCGCAGGGUGGAUCGAGGCAGAUUGUAAGUUUGAUUUAAUUUAUUACUCUAUUAUUUACCUUAUUAUUUUAUCAUUACGCUACAACUCUUUUACAUUAUUAAUCAGUCAUUCAGUUUAGUUUAGUUAUUACAAAGUAUAACAAUACCUGGCACCCUUGUUAGAUAACUCUAGCAAAUUCAUCGGUCGGUAGCUAACGUUACAGUUAGUACGGAUGAAUCGACAGUCGUAGUGACCCGUAAUUAAUCGGCUAGAACAUGUCUGGGGGGCGUCACCUCCCAUUAUCAGCACUCCCGCCCGUCUCGCAAGGGACGUCAGGCGAUGCCUCAAUUAAAUACCAGACCAACACCAGCAUGUAUAAGUAUAUAUUUUUGUCGAUGUUGAGUAACCGUGCACGCUGCGAACAGCUUUCCCCUUUUUCAUCACGUCCUGCACCCACAUCACCCCUACCCUGUGUGGCAGGGAGCUUCUGCCCGGACAGUGGAGAUUGCCCAGAGGCCCGUUCCGUGCCCUACCCUUACCCCCUUACGGGGGUACGGCAUCCGCAACCGCGCCUUAAAACUUACCAGUCCAACUGAUAGCAAUGUUGGCUACCAUUUUAAAUGCUAUCGGUAUACAUAAGCCGGGCAAACCGAAAAACGAAACCGCUAGUUACCGUCCGAUUAGUCUCCUUCCGACGAUAGGCAAAAUUUACAAACGACUCCUUCGGAAACGCCUCUGGGACUUCGUUACCGCGGACAAAAUACUAAUAGACGAACAGUUUGGAUUCUUUGCUAAGCACUCGUGCAUAAAACAAGUGCACCGCCUCACAGAGCACAUCUUAAUCUCUUUUUUUUUUGCUGGCAGCACUGACCGCUACUUGUCAAUAUUAUUGUGCUCUCUCAAUUAUUAUUUAAAUUAAAAUAUUUAUAAGUUUUGUAUUGUGCUUAAAAUUAUAUAAAACGUAUAUCUAAGUGAUAAUAUAAGUUUAUUGUUACGUAAAACAUUUAAUUAGUGCAUUUUACUGCAUAAUUGUAUUUUUUAUUUAUUUUACGAUGGUAAUAUCAAUUAUUUUCUACAAAUCCAAAAUGAUGACCAGAGGUACCAAAGCUCGUCAAGUUGAUGACCAACUUCAAGUGGCUCUUCAACAACUAAAAACAUCACGGGAACAGUGUCAACAACUGCUAAAAGAGAGAGAAGAUAACGAAGUCGAAACACUUCAGGUAAUAAAGAAAAAUACCAUGUUGAAAGGACAGUUGUCUCAGCUCUUCAUUGAAUACAAUGAAGUUCUUGAGACUAACAAUAAAUUACAACCAAUCCAACAAAAACGCAGUGUAUAAUUGUUGGCAGCCAAAGGACAUGCAGUAAGAUAGAGUGGACACAUCUGCCCCAAUUGUCUCUUGACGGGAUUGUGAUGUAUGAAACAUUCCUUAUAAUCUAUGUUAACCUACCUAAUGUAAUCGUAAGUGUAAUCCUAUAUAAACUAAGUGUGUAUCAAAUAAAUCAGAGUAUUAUUCGGACCCUCGUUGGUUUGAUUACAAAUAUAUCCCUCCGACGCAACACCUUAUAUGGCGACCCUGCCGACGGAGUCAUCUUGCGCGCCGCGAAUGUAGGACUAUUAAAACUUUUGUUCAAUAUUGUGACAAUGAAUGCAGUGCAACUUUAUUAUUUUUUCAUAUCACACGUACGCAUUAUAAUAAAUAAUUUUGACAAUGGGUGCCCAAAAUUCUAAAGAAGAGACACUGAUCGUGCAAAACGCUGCUGCUGGGGACAACCAAUCAACUAUUAAAGAAAUCCGAGGUCAUAUGAACACAACUAACAUAAUUCUGGUUGUAAUCCUGUUCGUCAUCCUGUUUGGUCUUUUGCACUGUGUAUACAAGUUAUAUAAAAAAUGCCAUGUAAAAUGGAUUGAUGAAGAGAUAAGCCGUUCAGCUACGAGAAGAUCGAUUUUUCGUCGUCAGUACCAACCCCGAAUUCCGAGACCAGAGGAGAAGUUCAAAUUUGAUCAAGAAGUUUAAGCAAUAAUGAAUGAAAUGAUUUCGAGCGGAAAAAAAAAUACAAUUGUGCGGUAAAAAAAAAAAAGUACGUAAAAUUAAUAAAAGUGUAAAGUGCAAAAAAAAAAAAA